UACUUCCUUGUGACUCAACGUCUAAUGGUCAUGUUUUGAUGGUGGUUUAAACAACACAAGAGAAGCCAGUUUCCAUUAAGGAAACACACUCAAAUACAUUAUAUGCGUUCCAGGAAUUUUGAAACAACUCACUGUUUUAUUUAUGUUGGUGAAGAUGUGAGAGUGAAAAAAAUGAACAAAAGAACUAAAGAUUUUUGGGAAUGACUACAACAUGGUAAUUGCAUAAUUUCCCUGUGGAAAUGGAAUUUUCUGGAGGCUUCCCAGAAGGGUCAAAAUUUGAUGGAUGCAGACUCUUCCAGUGAAC